GUAGGUGGCAAGCGUUGUCCGGGAAUUAUUGGGGCGUAAAGCGCGCGCAGGCGGUUCUUUAAGUCUGAUGUGAAAGCCCACGGGCUCAACCGUGGGAGGGUCAUUGGAAACUGGAGAGCUUGAGUACAGAAGAGGAAAGCGGAAUUCCACGUGUAGCGGUGAAAUGCGUAGAGAUGUGGAGGAACACCAGUGGCGAAGGCGGCUUUCUGGUCUGUAACUGACGCUGAGGCGCGAAAGCGUGGGGAGCAAACAGGAUUAGAUACCCUGGUAGUCCACGCCGUAAACGAUGAGUGCUAAGUGUUAGGGGGUUUCCGCCCCUUAGUGCUGCAGCUAACGCAUUAAGCACUCCGCCUGGGGAGUACGGCCGCAAAGGCUGA
rnacentral:rRNA from 1 species